rnacentral:rRNA from 1 species
UGGGGAAUAUUGCGCAAUGGGGGGAACCCUGACGCAGCAACGCCGCGUGAAGGAUGAAGGCUUUCGGGUUGUAAACUUCUUUGAUGAGGGACGAAAGAAAUGACGGUACCUCAAAAACAAGCCACGGCUAACUACGUGCCAGCAGCCGCGGUAAUACGUAGGUGGCGAGCGUUGUCCGGAGUUACUGGGUGUAAAGGGCGUGUAGGCGGGGAUGCAAGUCAGAUGUGAAAUGCCGGGGCUUAACUCCGGAGCUGCAUCUGAAACUGUGUUUCUUGAGUGUCGGAGAGGAAAGCGGAAUUCCCAGUGUAGCGGUGAAAUGCGUAGAUAUUGGGAGGAACACCAGUGGCGAAGGCGGCUUUCUGGACGAUAACUGACGCUGAGGCACGAAAGCGUGGGGAGCAAACAGGAUUAGAUACCCUGGUAGUCCACGCCCUAAAACGAUGUCAACUAGUUGUUGGGGAUUCAUUUCCUUAGUAACGUAGCUAACGCGUGAAGUUGACCGCCUGGGGAGUACGGUCGCAAGAUUAAAACUUAAAUGAAUUGACGGGGUCAUAGCUGUUUCCU